GACGUAGGGCGCGAGCGUUGUCCGGAUUUAUUGGGCGUAAAGAGCUCGUAGGCGGCUUGUCGCGUCGACCGUGAAAACUUGGGGCUCAACCCCAAGCCUGCGGUCGAUACGGGCAGGCUCGAGUUCGGUAGGGGAGACUGGAAUUCCCGGUGUAGCGGUGAAAUGCGCAGAUAUCAGGAGGAACACCGAUGGCGAAGGCAGGUCUCUGGGCCACUACUGACGCUGAGAAGCGAAAGCAUGGGGAGCGAACAGG
rnacentral:rRNA from 1 species